CCGGCGGCCGCCCGGGGCUCCACGCGCGCAGCGCGGCCGCGGCGCCUCCAGGAGCUCAGCCUGGCGCGGGCGCGGGCGGGGCGCUGAGAGAGCGGCGGCGCUAGGCGGGAGGACGCGCGGGAGGCAGAGGGGCUGGGAGAGCUUAGCCCGGGCCACCGAGCGCCAGCACGUCACGACUGCUCCAAACCCUGCACGUCCCGGGAGCUGCGCUUUCUGCGUCUGGGAGCGCCGACCUGUCGCAACCCAAGAGCUGUCAUUUCCGCACCGGGAUUCGGAGGGAUGGAUCGCCCGCCACGAAGGGGGCUGGUCUCGGUCCCCGAACUGCUCUGUCCCCGGGUGGAACAAUGCUAGUUUUUCUCUGCUAGGCUGCAAUUAACAUCUUACUUGUUCUGGCUGAUACAGGCUUUGUCGGGACCGCGGUGCGGCGACCGAGGUUGGGCUAGCGCGUUGCUUUCUGCAUGGCAAUGGGAUCGUGAUUGUGGGGUCUAAACUUUUGUUUUGUUAAUCCAUCCGAUUCUUUUUCGAGUUUCCCUAGUAACGGUUUGGGGACGGGAGUGAGAAGGGAGGAGGGAAAAGGGGAG
rnacentral:lncRNA from 9 species